GAGGAUGCAAGCGUUAUCCGGAAUGAUUGGGCGUAAAGCGUCCGCAGGUGGCAGUUCAAGUCUGCUGUCAAAGACCGGGGCUUAACUUCGGAAAGGCAGUGGAAACUGAACAGCUAGAGUAUGGUAGGGGCAGAGGGAAUUCCUGGUGUAGCGGUGAAAUGCGCAGAUAUCAGGAGGAACACCGGUGGCGAAGGCGGUGGUCUGGGCCGGCACUGACGCUGAGGAGCGAAAGCGUGGGGAGCGAACAGG
rnacentral:rRNA from 1 species